rnacentral:rRNA from 1 species
AGUGAACGCUGGCGGUAGGCCUAACACAUGCAAGUCGAACGGCAGCACAGUAAGAGCUUGCUCUUACGGGUGGCGAGUGGCGGACGGGUGAGGAAUACAUCGGAAUCUACUUUUUCGUGGGGGAUAACGUAGGGAAACUUACGCUAAUACCGCAUACGACCUACGGGUGAAAGCAGGGGAUCUUCGGACCUUGCGCGAUUGAAUGAGCCGAUGUCGGAUUAGCUAGUUGGCGGGGUAAAGGCCCACCAAGGCGACGAUCCGUAGCUGGUCUGAGAGGAUGAUCAGCCACACUGGAGCUGAGACACGGUCCAGACUCCUACGGGAGGCAGCAGUGGGGAAUAUUGGACAAUGGGCGCAAGCCUGAUCCAGCCGUACCGCGUGGGUGAAGAAGGCCUUCGGGUUGUAAAGCCCUUUUGUUGGGAAAGAAAAGCAGCAGGUUAAUACCCCGCUGUUCUGACGGUACCCAAAGAAUAAGCACCGGCUAACUUCGUG